rnacentral:rRNA from 1 species
UACGGAGGGUGCAAGCGUUAUCCGGAUUCACUGGGUUUAAAGGGUGCGUAGGAGGGUAGGUAAGUCAGUGGUGAAAUCUUCGAGCUUAACUCGGAACUGCCGUUGAUACUAUCUAUCUUGAAUACCGUGGAGGUGAGCGGAAUAUGUCAUGUAGCGGUGAAAUGCUUAGAUAUGACAUAGAACACCAAUUGCGAAGGCAGCUCGCUACACGAAUAUUGACUCUGAGGCACGAAAGCGUGGGGAUCAAAACAGG